GAUGAAGAACGUAGCGAACUGCGAUACUUGGUGUGAAUUGCAGAAUCCCGUGAACCAUCGAGUCUUUGAACGCAAGUUGCGCCUCAAGCCAUUAGGUUGAGGGCACGUCUGCCUGGGCGUCACAUAUCGUUGCCUGAUGCCAGUUUCCUCGUGAUGGGUGACUGUGCAGGGCGAAUGAUGGCUUCCCGUGAGCAUUGUUGCCUCAUGGUUGGUUGAAAAUUGAGUCCUUGGUAGGGAGCGCCGUGAUAGAUGGUGGUUGAGUGACGAACGAGACCCAAUCAUGUGAGACCCCUACCGAAUUUGGCCUUCAUGACCCACAUGCGUCUUUGGAACGCUCAUGACGAGACCUCAGGUCAGGCGGGGCUACCCGCUGAGUUUAAGCAUAUCAAUAAGCGGAGGA
rnacentral:misc_RNA from 1 species